CAGCAGCCGCGGGAAUACGUAGGGUGCGAGCGUUAAUCGGAAUUACUGGGAGUAAAGCGUGCGCAGGCGGUUCGUUAAGACAGAUGUGAAAUCCCCGGGCUUAACCUGGGAACUGCAUUUGUGACUGACGGGCUAGAGUAUGGCAGAGGGGGGUAGAAUUCCACGUGUAGCAGUGAAAUGCGUAGAGAUGUGGAGGAAUACCGAUGGCGAAGGCAGCCCCCUGGGCCAAUACUGACGCUCAUGCACGAAAGCGUGGGGAGCAAACAGGAUUAGAUACCCCUGUAGUCCCUGUCUCUUAUAC
rnacentral:rRNA from 1 species